rnacentral:rRNA from 1 species
GAUGAACGCUGGCGGCGUGCCUUAGGCAUGCAAGUCGAACGGUUGAGGUCGCAAGACCAAGACAGUGGCAGACGGGUGAGUAACGCGUAGGAAUCUACCCCUGGGUAUGGUAUAGCUGGCCGAAAGGUCGGGUAAUCCCAUAUAGUCUCGUAAGAGUAAAGGACUUAACGGUCCGCCGAGGGAGGAGCCUGCGUCCUAUCAGCUAGUUGGUGAGGUAAAGGCUCACCAAGGCGAUGACGGGUAGCUGGACUGAGAGGUCGAUCAGCCACA